rnacentral:rRNA from 1 species
UACGUAGGGUGCGAGCGUUAAUCGGAAUUACUGGGCGUAAAGCGUGCGCAGGCGGUGAUGUAAGACAGUUGUGAAAUCCCCGGGCUCAACCUGGGAACUGCAUCUGUGACUGCAUCGCUGGAGUGCGGCAGAGGGGGAUGGAAUUCCGCGUGUAGCAGUGAAAUGCGUAGAUAUACGGAGGAACACCAGCGGCGAAGGCGGGUAGCUGGGCCAACACUGACGCUGAUGUGCGAAAGCUAGGGGAGCAAACGGG